UUUUUUUUUUUUUUUUUUUUUAAAUUCAGGGAAACGUGCAGAAUGUGCAGUUUUGUUACACAGAUAUACAUAUGCCAUGGUGGCUUGCUGCACCCCUUAACCCAUCCUCUAGGUUUUUUUUUUUUUGUUUGUUUUUGAAAGAGUCUCACUCUGUCGCCCAGGCUAGAGUACAGUGGCACCAUCUCGGCUCACUGCAAGCUCCACCUCCUGGAUUCAUGCCAUUCUCUCACCUCAGCCUCCGGAGUAGCUGGGACUACAGGCGCCGGCCACCAUGCCCAGUUAAUUUGUUUUUUGUAUUUUUAGUAGAGACGGGUUUCACCACGUUGGUCAGGCUGGUCUCGAACUCCUGAUCUCGUGAUCCGCUCACCUCGGCCUCCCAAAGUGCUGGGAUUACAGGCAUGAAUCACUGUGCCUGGCCUUUUUGUUUUUGAGGAGUCUCGCUCUGUUGCCCAGGCUGGAGUGCAGUGACAUGAUCUUGGCUCACUGCAACUUCCAUCUCCAGAAUUCAAAUGAUUCUCCUUCCUCAGCCUCCUAAAUAGCUGGGAUUACAGGCGUGCGCCACCACACCCAGCUAACUUUUUAUAUUUUUGGUAGAGAUGGGGUUUCACCAUGUUGGCAAGGUUGGUCUUGAACUCCUGACCUCAAGUCAUCUGCCCACCUCGGCCUCAUGAAGUACUGGGAUUACAGGUGUGAGCCACUGUUCCUGGCCUUUUUUUUUUGAGACAGAGUCUGGCUCUGUCACUCAGGCUGGAGUGCAGUGGCAUGAUCUUGGCUCACUGCAACCUCUGCUUCCUGAGUUCAAGCAAUCCUCAUGCCUCAGCCUCCCUAGUAGCUUGGAUCACAGAUGCACACCACCAGGCUAGGCUAAUGUUUGUAUUGUUACAGAGACGGGGUUUCACCAUGUUGGCCUGGAUGGUCUUGAACUCCUGACCUCAAGUGAUCCGCCCUUCUCGGCCUCCCAAAGUGCUGGGAUUACAAGCAUGCGCCACCAUGUCUGGCCUCCUCAUAACAUUUUUAACAGCAGUUAUAAUAAAUCUGAAUGCACACCAUGUAAUGCCUAUGGAACUAAUAACUCAUCUUCUAUUGUGCAGUGCUACUAGUCACAUAUAUAGAUGUUUUUGUGAUUCUCAAAUACACAAACCCACCUAAAAGCAUCAUAUAUCCAGAUAUUCACUGCAGCCUGAAUAGCAGAUUGGGAACAACUUAAACAUUAGUCAGUAGGUGACCAGUUAGUUGUGUCAUUCUUUUUGAGACAGGGUCAGCUCUGUCGCCCAGGCUGAAGUGCAGUGGCAAGAUCAUAGCUGACUGCAACCUCCGCCUCCCAGAUUCCAGUGAUCCUCCCACCUCAGCCUCCCAAGUAGCUGGGAUCACAGACGUGCAGCACCACACCUGGCUAAUUUUUGUAUAUUUUGUAUAGAUGGAGUCUCGCUAUGUUGCCUCGACUGAUCUUGAACUCUCAGGCAUAAGUGAUGCCCCCGCCUCAGCCUCCGAAAGUGCCGGGAUUACAGGCGUGAGCCACUGAGCCCUGGCCCCUAGUUGUGUCAUUCUUACAAAGAACAUCACGCAGCUGUUACCGAGGACUUCCCAUUAGUCUUGAUAUAGCACAAUCUCCAAGACACUUAAAGUAUAACACACCCUACAGUGUGUAUUAUGAAUUGCCAUUUGUGUGAGGAAAUGAUUA
ensembl:lncRNA